UGGAGAUGAUGAAAGGAACAUGUCUGAACAUGCAGGGUCUUCAGGAGAAUCCAUCCUCAACAUUCAGGAUUCUGAAGACUAUCCACCUUCAAGAUCACCAUCAUUUUCUAUAGUUUCAGAGUUAUCUGCCAAAGACAGUGUUUCAGUCAUAUCAUGUAUAUCAUAUAACCACAAUAUAUCACCUGUAGCAAAAAGAAAAAAAAUCUCCAUCAUCCAGAAACAACCAUAGAUAAGUUUGUUAUAAGAACCAACAGAUUACAAAAAGAGGUGUAAUUGAUGAAAAAAUUGCCUGGGUUGUUUAUGCAACAAACUCUCCUUUCCAUAUGAUUGAGAACCCACACUUUAUUAACAUGGUUCAGUCAUUAAGACCAGAAUACAGUCCACCCUACAGCGCAGAUGUCACAGGCAAAUUGCUGGAUAAACUGUAUGAAAGAGAAAUUGAGCAGCGUGCAAAAAGUCUAGAGCAGGGAUAGGCAACCUAUGGCAUGUGUGCCAAAGGCGACAGGCGAGCUGAUUUUCAGUGGCACUCACACUGUCCAGGUCCUGGCCACAGGUCCGCGGGGCUCUGCAUUUUAAUUUAAUUUUAAAUGAAGCUUCUUAAACAUUUUAAAAACCUUAUUUACUUUACAUACAACAAUAGUUUAGUUAUAUAUUA